CAUGAUCGAAUUUUUUGGUUUUUUGUAACCCAUAAUAGAAUUUUUUGUAAUCCAUGAUCGAAAUGUUUGUUUUUUUUUCUUGUAAUCCAUGAUCGCUUUUUUUGUUUUUUUUUUUUGUAACCCAUGAUAGAAUUUUUUGUAAUCCAUGAUCAAAUGUUUUGUAAUACAUGAUCGAAAUGUUUGUUUUUUUUUUUGUAAUCCAUG
rnacentral:lncRNA from 1 species